CCUACGGGGGGCAGCAGUGGGGAAUAUUGGACAAUGGGGGCAACCCUGAUCCAGCCAUGCCGCGUGUGUGAAGAAUGCCCUCGGGUUGUAAAGCACUUUCAGUGAGGAAGAACGCCUGGUGGUUAAUACCCAUCAGGAAAGACAUCACUCACAGAAGAAGCACCGGCUAACUCCGUGCCAGCAGCCGCGGUAAUACGGAGGGUGCGAGCGUUAAUCGGAAUUACUGGGCGUAAAGCGCGCGUAGGUGGCUUGAUAAGCCGGUUGUGAAAGCCCCGGGCUCAACCGGGGAACGGCAUCCGGAACUGUCAAGCUAGAGUACAGGAGAGGAAGGUAGAAUUCCCGGUGUAGCGGUGAAAUGCGUAGAGAUAGGGAGGAAUACCAGUGGCGAAGGCGGCUUUCUGGACUGAAACUGACACUGAGGUGCGAAAGCGUGGGUAGCAAACAGGAUUAGAUACCCUAGUAGUC
rnacentral:rRNA from 1 species